CCACCACCUACGGUCGCCUGCCCCGCUCCACCCCGUCCGGCCGGCGCGCCUCCUCUACUCCACCCACGGUGCCACCCAUCCCCUGACCCGCCACUAGAUGAGAUCUGGCCUGCCCGACGCGUCCAGCAAGCCGAUGGUUGCCGCUCCCCCGGAUCUGCAGGGGAUGUGCGUGAGGAGCGUUACACCAGCCUCCCCAACCUCUUUCAUCCACGGGAUCCGGUCCUGCCUCCUCGGCCCUUCUCCGACUCCGUUUCGUGGCCAUAGUGCACACCAGAGUCCCCCCGAUCUGGCUUCCUCUGGUACCUCCAGCUCGGCCCAGGACGGCAUGCGGCUCGACUGAUGGCGGCUUGCAGUACGCCGACGCCCUUUGUGCUCGCCACCGAUGCCCUCUGUUCUCUCCACCGACAUCUCCUUCAUCCUCCAUAGGUCUGGGCACUCCCGCUACCCUCGCAUCCAGCGCAGGUGGGGACGAGCCCCGGCCACCAUGCUCCCCUAUCCUCUGACCUCUCUCUCCAAUGUCUUGUGCUGGAUGCCUAUCAACUGUGGCGUCCGGCUCUGGUGUAGUCAACAUCGCCGAUGAACGGUGUGCUCCCCAUUCCUCCUCUCCGGUAUGAGAAAUUCAAGUUUGACCUUUUGUGUUUAGAUUUUUGCUGUGCGCCUGGAUGUGAAGUGCAGUGCACCCGGAUCCCGCGAGCAGUGCGCCGUGCGCCCUGGUGUGGUUGAUCCACGGCCACCGCCGAAACAAAAUGUGAUUUGUGCACCUUGUUGACACUUUUCUCGUAAUUUUAGUGUGCAAGUUGCGUGCGUGCCGAGUCGAGGUGAAUGUGUUGUGUUGGCUGAGAUGUAGUACGGUUGGCAAUGAGAUUUGUCGUGCGCUUCACUGAUUUUGUGUGUUCCUAAAGAAAAAAUCAAAGUGCAAUGUAGUCUGUUGUUAUUUGCUCUUGAGGUUUAGCUUGCUUAUUUUUGCAAGAAGAAAAGCAUGCAGUUUGGUUGAA